rnacentral:rRNA from 1 species
ACGGUCCUAAGGUAGCGAAAUUCCUUGUCGGGUAAGUUCCGACCUGCACGAAUGGCAUAAUGAUGGCCAGGCUGUCUCCACCCGAGACUCAGUGAAAUUGAAAUCGCCGUGAAGAUGCGGUGUACCCGCGGCUAGACGGAAAGACCCCGUGAACCUUUACUAUAGCUUGACACUGAACAUUGAAUUUUGAUGUGUAGGAUAGGUGGGAGACUAUGAAGAUGAUACGCCAGUAUUGUUGGAGUCGUCCUUGAAAUACCACCCUUUAACGUUUGAUGUUCUAACGAAGAUUACGAAACGUGGUCUCGGACAGUGUCUGGUGGGUAGUUUGACUGGGGCGGUCUCCUCCCAAAGAGUAACGGAGGAGCACGAAGGUUUGCUAAUGACGGUCGGACAUCGUCAGGUUAGUGCAAUGGUAUAAGCAAGCUUAACUGCGAGACAGACAAGUCGAGCAGGUACGAAAGUAGGUCAUAGUGAUCCGGUGGUUCUGAAUGGAAGGGCCAUCGCUCAACGGAUAAAAGGUACUCCGGGGAUAACAGGCUGAUACCGCCCAAGAGUUCAUAUCGACGGCGGUGUUUGGCACCUCGAUGUCGGCUCAUCUCAUCCUGGGGCUGUAGCCGGUCCCAAGGGUAUGGCUGUUCGCCAUUUAAAGAGGUACGUGAGCUGGGUUUAAAACGUCGUGAGACAGUUUGGUCCCUAUCUGCUGUGGGCGUUGGAGAUUUGACGGGGGCUGCUCCUAGUACGAGAGGACCGGAGUGGACACACCUCUGGUGUACCUGUUGUCACGCCAGUGGCAUCGCAGGGUAGCUAAGUGUGGAAGAGAUAACCGCUGAAAGCAUCUAAGCGGGAAACUUGCCUGAAGAUGAGAUCUCCCUGGGGACUCGAUCCCCCUGAAGGGUCGUCCAAGACCAGGACGUUGAUAGGCCGGGUGUGGAAGCGCAGUAAUGCGUGCAGCUAACCGGUACUAAUUGCCCGUGAGGCUUGACCCU